GAUGAACGCUGGCGGCGUGCCUAAUACAUGCAAGUCGAGCGAACAGACGAGGAGCUUGCUCCUCUGACGUUAGCGGCGGACGGGUGAGUAACACGUGGAUAACCUACCUAUAAGACUGGGAUAACUUCGGGAAACCGGAGCUAAUACCGGAUAAUAUAUUGAACCGCAUGGUUCAAUAGUGAAAGACGGUUUUGCUGUCACUUAUAGAUUGAUCCGCGCCGCAUUAGCUAGUUUGUAAGGUAACGGCUUACCAAGGCAACGAUGCGUAGCCGACCUUAGAGGGUGAUCGGCCACACUGGAACUGAGACACGGUCCAGACUCCUACGGGAGGCAGCAGUAGGGAAUCUUCCGCAAUGGGCGAAAGCCUGACGGAGCAACGCCGCGUGAGUGAUGAAGGUCUUCGGAUCGUAAAACUCUGUUAUUAGGGAAGAACAAAUGUGUAAGUAACUAUGCACGUCUUGACGGUACCUAAUCAGAAAGCCACGGCUAACUACGUG
rnacentral:rRNA from 1 species